rnacentral:rRNA from 1 species
UACGUAGGGUGCAAGCGUUGUCCGGAAUUAUUGGGCGUAAAGAGCUCGUAGGCGGUCUGUUGCGUCCGCUGUGAAAACUCGGGGCUUAACCCCGAGCCUGCAGUGGAUACGGGCAGACUAGAGGUAGGUAGGGGAGAAUGGAAUUCCUGGUGUAGCGGUGGAAUGCGCAGAUAUCAGGAGGAACACCAAUAGCGAAGGCAGCUCGCUGGGACGGUACUGACGCUAAGGCGCGAAAGCGUGGGGAGCGAACAGG